rnacentral:rRNA from 1 species
CACUUCGGGUGGGAACUCCAGGGAGACCCCGGUGAUAAACCGGAGGAAGGUGGGGACGACGUCAAGUCAUCAUGGCCCUUACGAGUAGGGUUACACACGUGUUACAAUGGAGCAUACAGAGGGCGGCCAACUUGCGAAAGUGAGUGAAUCCAAAAAAGUGGGUCGUAGUCCGGGUUGGAGUAUGCAACUUGACUCCAUGAAGUUGGAGUCGUUUUUUAUUGUGGAUCUCCCCCACCCCGUGAAUAUUUUCCCGGGCUUUGUACACCUUCCCCGUCACCACAAGGGAGUGGGUUGCAAAAGAAGUGGGUAGUUUAACCUUCGGGAGGACGCCCACCACUUUGUGGUUCCCAACGGGUUUAAGUAGCAACAAUGAAACCCAAGGGGGAA